ensembl:lncRNA
AGCAGCUCAGCCAAUCGGGAGCCCCUGCUGGUGAGUACAGCAGUAAAAUAUUGAAGGGCUGAGUGAGAAGAGGAAAGAUCUUGCAUGUAUGUUCUCCUCUCCUUCUGCAUCAGCUGAUCUUCUCUCUGUCAGUUUAGUGUGAAUGACACUGGACAUCAGAUGCCAAAGUGUUUUCUCUAAAGGCACAGCAGGAGAGAACAUUUAAGGCAAUAUAGUGUUUUUCUGAGGCUUUUGGCUUGACACCUCUAUAAGUUUCUCUUCGGGACAUUUGGCACAUAUGGCAGUGAUUGUCUUAAGUGUGGAACUCAUGGACAUCAGCAGAGACUGGGUUUCCUGCUUUGUGAUGCUUGCCAGGCCUUUACCACGGCUGACUUCAGUUGUUGUUUGUAGGUUCCUGCACUUAUACAAAAGCGAUACAAGACAACACAUCUGAUACAGGAAUGGAAAUCCAACCCUUGUCAUGAUAAAACAAUGCAGUUUUGCGAUGGAGAUUUGUUCAGCCAGACGGCGCCAUGAUGGGUGUGCUGGAGUGUGAUAAUUCAAGAGCUGCAGGGGAGGACUGUGAUUUAUGGGAUAUCCUUUAUGCGUUACAAAAUGUGUUCUUUCGAAAGCCCACCCCCAACAAUUCAUAUGAGUCAUUUCCCUAAUUGAUAGUUGCCUGGAAACUCUAUGAGAGGGGCUGAAAAAGACUAAUAAUGUACAAAAUAUAGUGUGUGUUGAUCAAGACCAGUAAAACGAAAUGUUACAGUUUCAUCGACUUGCUUGAGACUAUUGAUUUUGAAUUGAUAUGGGUUUACACACUACACUGUGCCUGCGAGGUCACUCAUAAUGAAGUAUGGAUUAACAAUGAUGUUUUAAAACAAUGCCAUAUCUU